rnacentral:rRNA from 2 species
AGCGUACACGGUGGAUGCCCUGGCAGUCAGAGGCGAUGAAGGACGUGCUAAUCUGCGAUAAGCGUCGGUAAGGUGAUAUGAACCGUUAUAACCGGCGAUUUCCGAAUGGGGAAACCCAGUGUGUUUCGACACACUAUCAUUAACUGAAUCCAUAGGUUAAUGAGGCGAACCGGGGGAACUGAAACAUCUAAGUACCCCGAGGAAAAGAAAUCAACCGAGAUUCCCCCAGUAGCGGCGAGCGAACGGGGAGCAGCCCAGAGCCUGAAUCAGUAUGUGUGUUAGUGGAAGCGUCUGGAAAGGCGCGCGAUACAGGGUGACAGCCCCGUACACAAAAAUGCACAUAUUGUGAGCUCGAUGAGUAGGGCGGGACACGUGGUAUCCUGUCUGAAUAUGGGGGGACCAUCCUCCAAGGCUAAAUACUCCUGACUGACCGAUAGUGAACCAGUACCGUGAGGGAAAGGCGAAAAGAACCCCGGCGAGGGGAGUGAAAAAGAACCUGAAACCGUGUACGUACAAGCAGUGGGAGCACGCUUAGGCGUGUGACUGCGUACCUUUUGUAUAAUGGGUCAGCGACUUAUAUUCUGUAGCAAGGUUAACCGAAUAGGGGAGCCGAAGGGAAACCGAGUCUUAACUGGGCGUUAAGUUGCAGGGUAUAGACCCGAAACCCGGUGAUCUAGCCAUGGGCAGGUUGAAGGUUGGGUAACACUAACUGGAGGACCGAACCGACUAAUGUUGAAAAAUUAGCGGAUGACUUGUGGCUGGGGGUGAAAGGCCAAUCAAACCGGGAGAUAGCUGGUUCUCCCCGAAAGCUAUUUAGGUAGCGCCUCGUGAAUUCAUCUCCGGGGGUAGAGCACUGUUUCGGCAAGGGGGUCAUCCCGACUUACCAACCCGAUGCAAACUGCGAAUACCGGAGAAUGUUAUCACGGGAGACACACGGCGGGUGCUAACGUCCGUCGUGAAGAGGGAAACAACCCAGACCGCCAGCUAAGGUCCCAAAGUCAUGGUUAAGUGGGAAACGAUGUGGGAAGGCCCAGACAGCCAGGAUGUUGGCUUAGAAGCAGCCAUCAUUUAAAGAAAGCGUAAUAGCUCACUGGUCGAGUCGGCCUGCGCGGAAGAUGUAACGGGGCUAAACCAUGCACCGAAGCUGCGGCAGCGACACUAUGUGUUGUUGGGUAGGGGAGCGUUCUGUAAGCCUGUGAAGGUGUGCUGUGAGGCAUGCUGGAGGUAUCAGAAGUGCGAAUGCUGACAUAAGUAACGAUAAAGCGGGUGAAAAGCCCGCUCGCCGGAAGACCAAGGGUUCCUGUCCAACGUUAAUCGGGGCAGGGUGAGUCGACCCCUAAGGCGAGGCCGAAAGGCGUAGUCGAUGGGAAACAGGUUAAUAUUCCUGUACUUGGUGUUACUGCGAAGGGGGGACGGAGAAGGCUAUGUUGGCCGGGCGACGGUUGUCCCGGUUUAAGCGUGUAGGCUGGUUUUCCAGGCAAAUCCGGAAAAUCAAGGCUGAGGCGUGAUGACGAGGCACUACGGUGCUGAAGCAACAAAUGCCCUGCUUCCAGGAAAAGCCUCUAAGCAUCAGGUAACAUCAAAUCGUACCCCAAACCGACACAGGUGGUCAGGUAGAGAAUACCAAGGCGCUUGAGAGAACUCGGGUGAAGGAACUAGGCAAAAUGGUGCCGUAACUUCGGGAGAAGGCACGCUGAUAUGUAGGUGAAGUCCCUCGCGGAUGGAGCUGAAAUCAGUCGAAGAUACCAGCUGGCUGCAACUGUUUAUUAAAAACACAGCACUGUGCAAACACGAAAGUGGACGUAUACGGUGUGACGCCUGCCCGGUGCCGGAAGGUUAAUUGAUGGGGUUAGCCGCAAGGCGAAGCUCUUGAUCGAAGCCCCGGUAAACGGCGGCCGUAACUAUAACGGUCCUAAGGUAGCGAAAUUCCUUGUCGGGUAAGUUCCGACCUGCACGAAUGGCGUAAUGAUGGCCAGGCUGUCUCCACCCGAGACUCAGUGAAAUUGAACUCGCUGUGAAGAUGCAGUGUACCCGCGGCAAGACGGAAAGACCCCGUGAACCUUUACUAUAGCUUGACACUGAACAUUGAGCCUUGAUGUGUAGGAUAGGUGGGAGGCUUAGAAGUGUGGACGCCAGUCUGCAUGGAGCCGACCUUGAAAUACCACCCUUUAAUGUUUGAUGUUCUAACGUUGACCCGUAAUCCGGGUUGCGGACAGUGUCUGGUGGGUAGUUUGACUGGGGCGGUCUCCUCCUAAAGAGUAACGGAGGAGCACGAAGGUUGGCUAAUCCUGGUCGGACAUCAGGAGGUUAGUGCAAUGGCAUAAGCCAGCUUGACUGCGAGCGUGACGGCGCGAGCAGGUGCGAAAGCAGGUCAUAGUGAUCCGGUGGUUCUGAAUGGAAGGGCCAUCGCUCAACGGAUAAAAGGUACUCCGGGGAUAACAGGCUGAUACCGCCCAAGAGUUCAUAUCGACGGCGGUGUUUGGCACCUCGAUGUCGGCUCAUCACAUCCUGGGGCUGAAGUAGGUCCCAAGGGUAUGGCUGUUCGCCAUUUAAAGUGGUACGCGAGCUGGGUUUAGAACGUCGUGAGACAGUUCGGUCCCUAUCUGCCGUGGGCGCUGGAGAACUGAGGGGGGCUGCUCCUAGUACGAGAGGACCGGAGUGGACGCAUCACUGGUGUUCGGGUUGUCAUGCCAAUGGCACUGCCCGGUAGCUAAAUGCGGAAGAGAUAAGUGCUGAAAGCAUCUAAGCACGAAACUUGCCCCGAGAUGAGUUCUCCCUGACUCCUUGA